rnacentral:sRNA from 1 species
AAAUAGCCCAGAUUGAGUCGAUAUCCUUUUUUGUUCAAAAAAGAUAAAGACGAAAGCUGGAGAAAGC